GAUGAACGCUGGCGGCGUGCCUAAUACAUGCAAGUCGAGCGAACAGAUAAGGAGCUUGCUCCUUUGACGUUAGCGGCGGACGGGUGAGUUACACGUGGAUAACCUACCUAUAAGACUGGGAUAACUUCGGGAAACCGGAGCUAAUACCGGAUAACAUAUUUAACCGCAUGGUUCAAUAGUGAAAGGCGGCUUUGCUGUCACUUAUAGAUGGAUCCGCGCCGUAUUAGCUAGUUGGUAAGGUAACGGCUUACCAAGGCAACGAUACGUAGCCGACCUGAGAGGGUGAUCGGCCACACUGGAACUGAGACACGGUCCAGACUCCUACGGGAGGCAGCAGUAGGGAAUCUUCCGCAAUGGGCGAAAGCCUGACGGAGCAACGCCGCGUGAGUGAUGAAGGUCUUCGGAUCGUAAAACUCUGUUAUCAGGGAAGAACAAAUGUGUAAGUAACUGUGCACAUCUUGACGGUACCUGAUCAGAAAGCCACGGCUAACUACGUG
rnacentral:rRNA from 1 species